AGAGGGCACUUGAGAGUUUGCCCUGAGCUGCGCACUGUAGAUGUCUGCACCAUCUCCUCAGGUGCAGUGUGCCAGAGCUGUCACAGGAGUUCCCAGAUCGCGUGUGGAUGGAUUGGUCUCUAGAGGAUUUUAAUAGAAUUUGAUUGGAGUCCCUGGCGUGGGACUUCGGCGCACAUCACGGUGCCUCACACACCCCAGAACAGACCCACAGGACGCCGGAGCUGCUCUGGCAGCGGAGGAGAACAAGCCCGGGUGAUUGUGCAAACCACAUGCUGGCUGGCACCAUGCACUGUGUAGGGAGGCAGAGAGCACCAACACAGACUUCCUCGCAGAUGAUGAGUCCAGGGAGGCUGGACUGGUUAUGUUCCUGUGAUGAGCACGGACGAGUUGAAAUGAAGGGCCUGACCACUGCACAUGCUGGGCUUGUAGUUGAUUCAGCAGAAUGAGCAAGCAGUUAUUACUGUGCAGCUAGAUGCGCCAUACUCCGACAACCUACCCUGAGUGCAUGUGAGUUUUUUAAAAUGCCCAUUUUGCCUCUCUUAAACAGAUACUGAACAGGAGUUGCACCAACCUGAUUUUCCUUGUUGGCUGUGUAAACUUAUAAAUUUGCUGUCAAUAAUGCCACAACCACAUCAUUGAUUGUAGUCUUUAUCUGGACACAUUGUGCCAGGAGGUGUUAAACUCCUGAUCAGAUACAGGUGCCCGUGCUCCAGACCUCAGCUGGAACCUUACAGCCUGGUGCAGUUCAUCAAAUGCUGGUGAGACACCAGCCUUACAGUGUUAAUUCUUUUAAAUUAAAAAAAAUCUAAAUCCACGUUUACAAAAUAUACAGCUACUUUCCAAAGCAAUUUCACUUUCUUGAUAAAGUGUCUCUGUGUGUAUAUAUAUGUUCUGCUUGUGUACUGUCUAUACAGUCGGUUGAAAAAUAGGAGCUACUGUUCCUUGUGCUUUGUUUGUAUUGUGGUUGUGGUCAAGCUGGGGUUGAACUUAGUUCCUUCACUAACUCCGCUGCUAACAUACGAAUUGCUCUGCCAAGUUUAAAAUUAGUAACAAAUUUAAUAUGUUCUGCACUGGCAUCCAAUGCCACAAAGAGUGAAGAAAUGCAGCACUAGUUUGUCAUGGGGUCUUUCUGGAAAACCGCAACGAGGCAGAAUUUAGGAUCCAAAUUGAGAGGCAGGAAUAAGAGGAGAGUGAAAUGUAUAGCAGAUGCAGGCUGGCUCCAAGGAGGGGAGUGUGCAGGGACCACCAGUGAGGCAGAAUGUUUCAGACAAUGCAUUCUUUACUGGGAGAACUGAACACAUCCUUCUUUCGUUUCUUUAUGUUUGCUUUUAAAUACCCACAACUCCAGACAAAACUAUUAGCAUGACCUAAACGACAGAACCAUGCUCUUGUUAAUGGCAUAAUAGUUGGAAAUAUGAUUUAUGGCUUUCAUUUUAAGAAUGGCUAUUCUCAUAACUCCUAAUACAGGAAAAUGUGUGUUUGCAAUAACUUACCCUCCCAUGAUGCCUUCUAGUCUGUUAAACCAUGGAAAAGAACAUAUUGGUGUCAUAAAUCUACAUUGCAAAAACAGACAGCAUGAAACAAGUCACUGGAUUAGAAUUAGACAAAUUCCAAAACAUUCAAAUGAACGAGAAGGAUUA